UACGGGGGGGGCAAGCGUUGUUCGGAAUUACUGGGCGUAAAGGGCUCGUAGGCGGCCAACUAAGUCAGAAGUGAAAUCCCUCGGCUUAACCGGGGAACUGCGUCUGAUACUGGAUGGCUGGAGGUUGGGAGAGGGAUGCGGAAUUCCAGGUGUAGCGGUGAAAUGCGUAGAUAUCUGGAGGAACACCGGUGGCGAAGGCGGCAUCCUGGACCAAUUCUGACGCUGAGGAGCGAAAGCCAGGGGAGCAAACGGG
rnacentral:rRNA from 1 species